GUUUAUCGCCAAUAUUUUUUAAUAAUAAUAAUUCUGAAUAAUAUUAAUAAUGUUAAUAUUAAGUACUAGUGACAGUUUCUUACCUUUCUGUUGUUUUCUCUUGUUCACUAACUGUGAUGUCUUUGUUGAUUUUAAACGUGCUGUAGAAAUAAAACUGACAUUGACAUUAUCCCAUAUAAGAUUAUUUGAUUGGUAGAUGGUUAAUGAAAUUAAUGCUGCCUUAUUUAUGGUUUGAGUAAAAUUUAUAAAACACUUUUGAAAAAGCAAAGUUUCCUUUUAUAACCUUGAGUUGCUUCCUUUUUCUUCAUCUCUGCUUUUAUUAUCAGAGCAGAUUUGUUGUGAACCUUUGAUUUGAUCUUGACUUGCAUGAGGGUAUUUGGUUUUUUGUGUAGCUUUGAAUGAAUAUAAUAAAGAUAAAAAAAAUUGAUGCUUUGAGUGUUUUUUUCUUUGUUUGUUUGUUUUUUCAGCACCACGGACAGUGACUGUUUCCUCCCAGAUGGAGUCCAGGUGAUCUGGCUACUUUUACCAGCUUCUUCACACCUGCUGACAGAGCUGGCGCUUCACAGCCCUGUGGGAUAACUGUACCGCCAGUAUGGGAUAAAAUGGAUUUUUUUUUUCCCAGUUAGAAGAUUUCUUUCAGUGUUAUCUGCUGUCAGGUUGAAGCAUUUGUUUGUGAAUUCUUGGCAGUUUGGGAUGAGACACAGCUUCCUUUCGCAGCCUCUGAGUUGCUGAUGAUGUGGGUGUGAAGUAUCAUCAAGUGGAGCUGGUUUGGCAAGCCUAGGCCGAUCACACAGCAAGGAUGGAAAUUUCAGUGUGUGAUGAAUGAUUUUGCGCUUAUUGAGCUUGCACGUGUGAGUGAGCUGACUGAGAGCUUGGGAGGAUUGAUGGCAGAUUGAAUACCAGACUGUGAGAAUGAACAUCGAAUGCAUUGACUCUGUCACCUCCUUUCCCCAAAGAUUCCAUCACCGCUUCUUGUAGGUUUUCAAGAGCCGGACCUGAGUAUUCAACUUUCUGAAUAUUUGAUGGCUUGGUGGGUAUUUAAUCAUCUACUGUGGGAUUCAAUUUUUUGGAAUCCACAAAUCUAGCACCUUUGUGGACAAACAGUUGCCACUACUCCACUACGACACACAAGG
ensembl:lncRNA